AGUUAACUGUAGCUGGGGAAAGGGGCUCAUGUGUCUUCUUCACCCAUCCCUGAGGAUCUAUUGGCUGUUAAUGCUGACCAGGGAAGGAGAGACGUUUUCUUCAAUAAUAUAAGCUACCGAAAAAAAGAAAAUAACCAUGAAGAUAAACCUAAAGAGGGAAAAGUGUUGCCCCAGUCCCACCAGCUGUGCACGAUCCUGGCUCAGAUCAUGGCAUAUCCAUGCAUUUAUCAUCCAUUCAUGAUUAUCUGCCCAUCCAUUCAUCUCCUGAGUUGCUCAUUCAUGUCUUCACUGAGGAGUCAUUCCCAUCAUUGGCCCAGCUGGAGCUCGGUCCUCGGUGCGGGCUCAUCUUGUUCGGUGGCAGGCAUCCGGGUUGGUGGAUUCUGGUGGACUCGAUCUCUCAGCAUGUUGGCAUCUUUGUGGGACUCGGGACUCUGGGAGCGAGUGAUUUGCCAUGGCUAGACAAGAGACUUGUGUCCCUGUCACAGAUUGAAUUUGGACUUAUAAUGUGAUAGGAAACAUGGAGAAAGGGGAGAGGAUUAGACCUCGAGGUUUCAGGUGAGCUAUUUUCAAGUUGUGGCAUUAAAUGGACAAACCCAUCACAUUUUCUCCACUUCAGUCCUUUUGAGUCUGAAAUGGGCAUGGUUACAACAGAAUGAGUAGUUAUGUGGGUCAAAUAAGUUGAUACCACAAAGAUAAUGGAAGCAUAAAACAGUGUAUGGAAUUUGAAUAUGGUGGCACAUGCCUGUAAUUCUACUGGAGAUAUAGAGGCAGGAAGAUCAGGAGUUCAA